ACCGCCCCCAGCCUGGUGCCGCCACCGCCCGCCUCGGCACAACAUGGCGAUGCACAACAAGGCGGCGCCGCCGCAGAUCCCGGACACCCGGCGGGAGCUGGCGGAGCUCGUGAAGCGGAAGCAGGAGCUGGCGGAAACACUGGCAAACUUGGAGAGACAGAUCUAUGCUUUUGAAGGAAGCUACCUGGAAGACACUCAGAUGUAUGGCAACAUUAUUCGUGGCUGGGAUCGGUAUCUGACCAACCAAAAAAACUCCAAUAGCAAAAACGAUAGAAGGAACCGGAAGUUUAAGGAAGCAGAGCGGCUCUUCAGUAAAUCCUCAGUUACUUCAGCAGCUGCAGUAAGUGCAUUGGCAGGAGUUCAGGACCAGCUCAUUGAAAAGAGGGAGCCAGGAAGUGGGACGGAAAGUGAUACUUCUCCAGACUUCCACAAUCAGGAAAAUGAGCCCAGCCAGGAGGACCCUGAGGAUCUGGAUGGAUCUGUGCAGGGAGUGAAACCUCAGAAGGCUGCUUCUUCUACUUCCUCAGGGAGUCAUCACAGCAGCCAUAAAAAACGAAAGAAUAAAAACCGGCACAGGUAUGUAUAUUAGGUUAGGCUGGGAAGUUUUUUUUAAAAACAGAAAAACGUGAUGGAGGAUUGAUCUGAAGUUAAACAAAAAACCACGAGCUGAUUAUUAGAAGACUCAUUAGUGCAGAAGCGUCCAGGCUAUAGAGCCCUGCUUCCCUCCUCCGACCUCACAAAGAUAAACACCCCUCACCUGGCUGCGUGGCCAUCCAUCUCUGCUUUCCCAGACCCGGUGCCUGUGACUCUGAGUAGUUUGUUCUGAAAUGUGGUGACAAACAAGUCAUUUCUGUAUGACCAUAUCGGAGCAUUUACUUUGUGUCAUUUUCAGUAACAAUUGCAGGAAGACCCAAGACAUUGUUUUAAUCCCAGCAAGUUGCUAACUGUGCAUUUCUCCCUUCUUGGAACCAAUGUCUCCCCCGGCAAACUGGCCGGCACCAGCUUCAUCUGUGAUGCGCAUCGAGAAAUGUUCUCUAGAUUUGUUUUAUGCUGAACGUAGAACAGGUCACAUUUCAGAGGGAGGCUGUAAAUAUCUGGCGUUUUCUUAUUUUGUUUGUGUUUUAUCAUUUUUCUAUGAUUGUUUUUACCAUCUUAUUUUCUUUUGGGACUUUUUGUAAUGCCAUUGUACAGCUCAUACCUUCCUGCUGACAUAUCUGAUAAUCUGUUUCGUGCAGUUGCCAAUAUUCUUAACUGAAAAUAAUUUGGUUUACCAUAAAUAAAAUGGGGACUUGACUUUCUGUUUUUUUGCAGAGGGAAGGUAAAGAGUGUUUGUUUAAUAAUUACCUAUCUUAAAUCUUUUUGAGUUGGAAGCAGUUUCAUGUUCAAGGAACAGGAAAAGCUGAAAAACAUAAGUUUAAAUCAGUCCUUUUAAAAUAGGUAUUUUUAUUCUUUUGUAUAAAUAAAAUUUCACAGGCUUUGA